rnacentral:misc_RNA from 1 species
GUCAGAAAUUACUUCUGGCUUGCUUCGGGGACUCCUUCACCAGGGGAAACUUCGUGUUAACCGUUUUAAUCCAUUUGAAGCAUAUGUCGGAAGUGAAAGCAUUGGUGAUGAGAUAAUUAUAUAUGGACGUGCAAACAUGAAUAGAGCUUUUGACGGUGAUAUAGUGGCAGUUGAGCUUUUGCCUCCAGAACAGUGGCACGAGGAGAAGUCUUUGGCAUUAGCCGAUGAAGAUGAUGAAGAAGAAGAUGUUCAUUUAGCUCCAAACACUGCUGAUGAUGCUCCAAGAGCCCUGAAUCAAGGGCAAACUGCACCUGAGGAAAUGAAACCUUCUCGUCCAACUGGAUGUGUUGUUGGUAUCAUAAAGCGGAACUGGCACUCUUACUGUGGAUCCUUGGAGCCUAUGCCUAUGCCAGCUGGUGAUGGUGGUCGUGCCCAUGCCUUAUUUGUAUCCAAA